AGAGACUAAUUCCUUAUUAAAGAAGAUGCAACGCUGCAAAUAUUCACAUAUGACUAGUUCCUCAGAGGGGAUGAAAUAGGAACAAGUUUUCAUCUUUGUCAUCAAAACAUCAAACGUGCUCCACUUCAGUCACUCUGUAACUGUGGUAGCCAAGGAAGGGUGUCUUUUUAACAAAAAAUAGCAAACAUUGGGUUUUUUUGUAUGAAGAUAUCAAAACCUGGAAUAAUUCAUUAAAGAGUGAACCUGUUGGCCUCAAAGUCUUGCCCAGAUCUGUGUUAAGAGUGAUUUCAGAACAACUGAUUGGCCCUGAAGUGUUCCAUUGUGUGGAGCAGUGAUUUCAAACGUG